rnacentral:lncRNA from 1 species
CAGAUAAUAAACUAUUCAUUUUAUUUUUAAAAAAAAAUAUAUUCAACUAAAAAUAUCAAGCAAAUAAAUUUUAAACUUUAAAUCUCAAAUAUCAACCGUCAAGUCCUUAAUCAACUACGGACAUAAUUUCAGCAAAAAUAUUUCCAAUAAUACUUCGUUGAGGAGCGGUUGAUCCAUUAAUUGUCAUGGAUUUAUUUUAUUAUCUAUCAAAAACUUUUAUUAUUAAUACUAAAAUUAAAAUUUUAAAAAUUUAAAAAUAUUGUAAUUUUUAAAUUAGAGAGAAAACUAACAUAUAAUAAUAAAUCCGAAUACCUUUUAACGAAAUACCGCUCAGAAGCUCGUCGUCCAAGUUUUUUUUUUCGCCAAAUGCCAAUGCAUUAAAGCUUCGUUUGGUUCGCAUAUUAUGAUUAGUCGAUUCUGAUAUAUUUUAUGCAAAUCCAUCGAAGAAUGUACAAAUAUAUCCGUAUAUAUAUACUUUAUCUCAACUUUAUUUUAUCUAAUAACGUUACAUAGGUCUCAAUACCAAACAAAGACUAAUUUAUUUUUUUUAAGAAAUAGAUAAUAUACUAUUUGCUUUUUUUUUAAUUUAUAAAUAAAUUUAACUAAAAAUUUGGAUCAAUUAAAAUUCAAAUUUAAAAUAUUAAAUAUCAACCAUUAAAUUUUUUGCCGCUUACUAAAUUACUAUGGACAGUCUGU